AUGUCCUCGUGGCUGCGGAGCGCGGUGAGCAAGGCCGUCGAGGCGGGCGGCCGCAGCGGCGUCACUCGCGCCGUGCUGGGCUACGCCGAUGCCGUCGCCCACCACGCCGGCCAGGCCGUCGCCGAGGGCACCAAAAUCCUCAAUGAUCGCAUGAUCACCCAGAACUACAAAAGUGUCAAGAAGACAGUGAAGCGCUUGGAAGAGGCGGCAGUUUCAUCGCGCGGGGAUGUGAGAGUUCAGGUGCUAACACGCUGGCUCAGAUCACUUCAAGAGAUCGAGGCUGCGUUCGGAGGUUUGGAUGAGAGUGUCUCACACAAUGUCUCUUCAGUUGACCCAAACAGCUUGAAAACACCAUUAGCAAGAGUUUUGUUUUAUGACGCUGACAUUGGAGGAGCUCCUAUGAACUUCCGAGAUGUAUUCCUCUAUAGCCAAGCACUUGAGGGUAUUACAUUGUCCAUGGUUCUCGAAGCACCCAAGGAAGAAGAAGUCUCCCUGCUUUUGGAAAUUUUCAGCCUAUGUCUUACAGGAGGGAAAGAAAUCAAUAAUGCAAUUAUGAGCAGCAUACAAGACUUGGCAAAGUCAUUCUCAAUUUACCAGGAUGAAGUCCUGGUAAAACGUGAAGAGCUGCUUCAGUUUACCCAAAGUGCUAUUUCAGGACUAAAGAGGAGUGCUGACAUUGUGAGGAUAGAUGCUGAAGCCUUAGAAUUGUGGAAGAAACUAGAUGAGAAGGAGGCAUUGCGAGUUCAAUCAAAUGAAGAUCCUGAAAAAGUUUCAGAAGAUACUGCUGUUGCAGUCGUUGAGUCUUUUAAAGAAGCACUAACUGAAGUCAGGUUCUGUUCUAGAAUGGAACACCUUCUACUGAAGAAAAGAUCAAUUAACGCUGGGGAUUCCCCAGAGGUUCAUUUCCAGAAGGUUGACAAAUUAAAGGUCUUAGCAUCCUCCCUUGCCAAUUCAUCCUCCAAGGCAGAGAAGCGUAUUUUGGAUCACAGACGCCAGAAAGAGGAGGCUCUUAACUUUCGUGCCAAAAAGGAGAAUGAAGUGAGUGCAGUUGAAAAAGAGUUGACUGCUGAGAUUUCGGAAUUGGAGAAGCAAAGGGAUGAACUCGAGGCUCAGCUGAAGAAGGUCAACAUUUCACUGAAUGCUGCUGUUAGGCGGCUCAAGCUAACAAGGGAAGAGAGGGAUCAGUUUGAUGAAGCAAACAAUCAGAUGAUCUUUAGUUUAAAAGCAAAGGAGAAUGAACUUUCAAAAACUAUUUCCUCAUGUAAUGUGGAGGCUGGUGUAGUCAAGACUUGGAUCAAUUUCCUUGAGGAUACUUGGCAGCUCCAGUCGUCAUACGAUGAACAGAUUGAACAGAAAACCAAUGAUGAGCUAGAGAGAUGCACAAGCAAUUUUAUGAAGUUGACGAAAUAUCACCUUUCUACAUUCAAGGAAGUUCUAAGCCCAUCGAUUGAGCGGAUCCAAACAUACGUGGAUAAUUUGGCAUUCUUAAAUGCAAGGGAUGAGUCAACGGAACUUGAAGCCGAGGAGGUGUCAGAAAAGACAAGCCCACAGAAAUCCCUCGAGGAGGAAUAUUUGGAAACUGAAAAGAAGAUCGUAAUUGCCUUCAGCAUCACUGAUCACAUGAAGAAGCUGUUUUAUUCCGAACAAGGGUACAGUUCUAGGAGAGAUGAUCCAGAGGUCAGGAGCUUAUUUUCGGAGAUAGACAAACUGAGAGAGGCAUUUGAGUCUAUAGAAAGGCCGACGCUAGACAUCGAAGUCCGCAGAGCAAAGGUGCCAACGAAGGAGCGAAUCGAGUCAAGCUCUUCGCCUGUUCAGGCACCCUCUACGCCUAAAGCUGCGCCCGUGGGCUCUCCAAAAUCUCCAGUGAAAUCUGAGCAAACACUGGACCUUGGUUCGGAGCUCGCAGAGUUGGAGUUAGAAUUUGGUAAAUCCAACAGGUACUCCCCUGAAGAUAUAAGCGGGUGGGAGUUCGACGAACUCGAAGAGGAGCUGCGAGCCGAUAUAUCCAAAUCGAGCGAUACGAAAUAA
rnacentral:rRNA from 1 species